UAGGGAAUCUUUUGCAAUGGACGAAAGUCUGACCGAGCAACGCCGCGUGAGUGAAGAAGGUUUUCGGAUCGUAAAACUCUGUUGUUAGAGAAGAACAAGGACGUUAGUAACUGAACGUCCCCUGACGGUAUCUAACCAGAAAGCCACGGCUAACUACGUGCCAGCAGCCGUGGUAAUACGUAGGUGGCAAGCGUUGGCCGGAUUUAUUGGGCGUAAAGCGAGCGCAGGCGGUUGCUUAAGUCUGAUGUGAAAGCCCCCGGCUCAACCGGGGAGGGUCAUUGGAAACUGGGCUGCUUGAGUGCAGAAGAGGAGAGUGAAAUUCCAUGUGUAGGGGUGAAUUGCGUAGAUAUAUGGAGGAACACCGGUGGCGAAGGCCGCUCUCUGGUCUGUAACUGACGCUGAGGAUAGAGAGUGUGGGGAGCAAACAGG
rnacentral:rRNA from 1 species